GAAGGUGUGCUGUGAGGCAUGCUGGAGGUAUCAGAAGUGCGAAUGCUGACAUAAGUAACGAUAAAGCGGGUGAAAAGCCCGCUCGCCGGAAGACCAAGGGUUCCUGUCCAACGUUAAUCGGGGCAGGGUGAGUCGACCCCUAAGGCGAGGCCGAAAGGCGUAGUCGAUGGGAAACAGGUUAAUAUUCCUGUACUUGGUGUUACUGCGAAGGGGGGACGGAGAAGGCUAUGUUGGCCGGGCGACGGUUGUCCCGGUUUAAGCGUGUAGGCUGGUUUUCCAGGCAAAUCCGGAAAAUCAAGGCUGAGGCGUGAUGACGAGGCACUGCGGUGCUGAAGCAACAAAUGCCCUGCUUCCAGGAAAAGCCUCUAAGCAUCAGGUAACAUCAAAUCGUACCCCAAACCGACACAGGUGGUCAGGUAGAGAAUACCAAGGCGCUUGAGAGAACUCGGGUGAAGGAACUAGGCAAAAUGGUGCCGUAACUUCGGGAGAAGGCACGCUGAUAUGUAGGUGAAGUCCCUCGCGGAUGGAGCUGAAAUCAGUCGAAGAUACCAGCUGGCUGCAACUGUUUAUUAAAAACACAGCACUGUGCAAACACGAAAGUGGACGUAUACGGUGUGACGCCUGCCCGGUGCCGGAAGGUUAAUUGAUGGGGUUAGCGCAAGCGAAGCUCUUGAUCGAAGCCCCGGUAAACGGCGGCCGUAACUAUAACGGUCCUAAGGUAGCGAAAUUCCUUGUCGGGUAAGUUCCGACCUGCACGAAUGGCGUAAUGAUGGCCAGGCUGUCUCCACCCGAGACUCAGUGAAAUUGAACUCGCUGUGAAGAUGCAGUGUACCCGCGGCAAGACGGAAAGACCCCGUGAACCUUUACUAUAGCUUGACACUGAACAUUGAGCCUUGAUGUGUAGGAUAGGUGGGAGGCUUUGAAGUGUGGACGCCAGUCUGCAUGGAGCCGACCUUGAAAUACCACCCUUUAAUGUUUGAUGUUCUAACGUUGACCCGUAAUCCGGGUUGCGGACAGUGUCUGGUGGGUAGUUUGACUGGGGCGGUCUCCUCCUAAAGAGUAACGGAGGAGCACGAAGGUUGGCUAAUCCUGGUCGGACAUCAGGAGGUUAGUGCAAUGGCAUAAGCCAGCUUGACUGCGAGCGUGACGGCGCGAGCAGGUGCGAAAGCAGGUCAUAGUGAUCCGGUGGUUCUGAAUGGAAGGGCCAUCGCUCAACGGAUAAAAGGUACUCCGGGGAUAACAGGCUGAUACCGCCCAAGAGUUCAUAUCGACGGCGGUGUUUGGCACCUCGAUGUCGGCUCAUCACAUCCUGGGGCUGAAGUAGGUCCCAAGGGUAUGGCUGUUCGCCAUUUAAAGUGGUACGCGAGCUGGGUUUAGAACGUCGUGAGACAGUUCGGUCCCUAUCUGCCGUGGGCGCUGGAGAACUGAGGGGGGCUGCUCCUAGUACGAGAGGACCGGAGUGGACGCAUCACUGGUGUUCGGGUUGUCAUGCCAAUGGCACUGCCCGGUAGCUAAAUGCGGAAGAGAUAAGUGCUGAAAGCAUCUAAGCACGAAACUUGCCCCGAGAUGAGUUCUCCCUGACUCCUUGAGAGUCCUGAAGGAACGUUGAAGACGACGACGUUGAUAGGCCGGGUGUGUAAGCGCAGCGAUGCGUUGAGCUAACCGGUACUAAUGAACCGUGAGG
rnacentral:rRNA from 1 species